UGUUGCGAUUAGAAGUAUGUACAGAGCCCCCAACGUCCAAAUUUGCAAACUGAGAAACCCUAGCUCCAUCCAAAUUAGCAAAAUUCGCUGAAAAAUUUCUUGAACCAUCACCACCAUAACCUGGUUGCCAUCGAGCACCACCAUGGUUGUUCCAUUGUCCAUAUCGGCCGGACGACCACCAUGGCGACCACGGCCGCCUCUCCACUAGUACGGAAACGACCACCGGAAAAAGUAUUCGGAGCAAAUCUAUGAUAACAAUUUGAAGCCUUGUGACCUAUUUUGUCACAGAUCUGACAAACAAUAGUGGAUUGCGAUCUAGAAGUCUGGUCAUAAUGUGGUGGCUUGACGUUUAACGCAGCCAUGGCAGCAAUCGAUAUAGUCGAAGAAUGAUGAUUCUGAUGUUGUUUUAGAUGUGCUUCAUGCGUUAAGAGUUUAGCUCGAAGUUGAGAAUAGGUUAACUUUGUGUCAUUAGUUUCAAUGUUUGUAACGAACAUCUGAAAUUCAGGAUUCAAUCCAUUGAGAAUUUGAAGAAUUAAUGCAUGUUCAGUUAUCGGAUCUCCAACAGUUUGAAGAGAACCAUAUAAAUUCUUUGCAGAAUCACAAAAUUCAAUCUGAAGAAGGAACUGUACCUCGAGCAAGAUGAAUUAAAGAUGGAGAUAAAUUUGCUGUAAGAAAUGCAGAUCAAAUCCAAGCUUCUCUGGCUUCAACUUCAAUUAGAGGAUCUAUUUCACGAUUAAGAUGUUUCAGGAGACCAAGUGUCUUCAAAAUUAUUUGAUGAACUUCCAUUCAUUGUUGAAGAUGUGGCUAACUGAGUACUAAAAUCGGAAGAUGUUGACAUGAGAAGAAAACAGAGGAAGAAUGAAAGAAAGAGAGUUGAAAUAGAGAUACAAAGUUUCCCGGAAAAGUCACCGGAGAUGACGAAGUUUCACCGGAAACGUCACCGGAGAGUAACUGUCAUAAGAGCUGAGAUGGCAUGGCUCUGAUAUCAUAAAGAGAGCUAUAAAAGUUCAACGCAAUCGAAGGAAAUCAUGAAAAACAAGAAGAUAAAGGAAGAUUGAACAAAAGAAAACGAAAAGGCAGAGAAAGAUAUUAUGCUCAAAAGGAUCACAAACAUUGAACAUUGUCUCAAACCAUACUUUAUUUUGAAUUUUUAAGUUAGAAUAACUCUAGUAUUUGACAUUAUGAUUUGUAAUUUUAACUGGAAUGUUUUAUACAAUUUUAAAUUUACAUACAUGUUU
rnacentral:lncRNA from 1 species